rnacentral:tRNA from 1 species
CGCAGUAGCCAAGCGGUAAGGCAAUGGUCUGCAACACCAGUAUGCGCCGGUUCAAAUCCGGCCUGCGC